GGAGCAUAGUGAUUUGCCUCUGGCGAACCCAGUACAGCAAAGGGGAUGGGAUGUCAGUCGCUGAUGUCACAGAAGACUGUGACUUCCAUCUUCUGGUUCUCUCUUGCAUUCUAUGAUGUUUCCAGACACUCUGUGCAAAGAACAGAGGCAAGCCUCCAGCCAGGAGCUCAUGAAAUCAUGAACUGAGGCCUCAGUGCAAUAGCUCAUGAGGAAAUGAAUUAUUUCAACAGCCAGAGAAAAAUUUGGCUCGUGGUGAUAGUCUUGGAUAUCACCUUCAUCCCCUCGGAUGUUUGUAGAUAAUCCUCCAUUAUAUUUGGAAUGAAUACUGUAGAUAUAUGAGGUUGGACUAUCCUACGUUUUGCUUGUUUAUGGGUUUUGCAUCUUGAUGUCUUCCUGAAGUAUUCUUCAUGGGGAAUUUCCAAAUCAACCACAAUUUGAUAUCAAAGUAAUGUCAAGUGCUUCUGACCCACUGCAUUAAACGUGUGCUGAGCAGUUGGUGGUAGAAGACAUUAUUGUGAAGGCUGCUCACCACCAAUUUCAUCACUGUUGCUAACUCCAGCUCAUCUAAUCUCUGCAACAUCUGCUACCAGCACCUUCUCUUGCCUCCUUUUGUGAACAUAGUUUUUUCUUCUGGUUAGAAAAUCAGUUCGAACUUCUUGAGUUUUGUGUUUUAAACUCUUCUCAACUGUUCCGAUGAUUGAUGGAUGGCCCAGAGGCGACCUCUUUAUCUCCAGCAACAUAUUUGGCUGUUGGCCCGGUAGAGAGGUACUCCAGAAGCUUGCUGGUUCAUCAUGCUCUCAUCUUUAACCACAACUAUUUAUCUGACUCCUUCCAUCUCCACAGCACUGUGUGAGGGAUCAGUGAUAAGAGACGGUGAAAGACAUGCGCAAAUGGAUAAAUAAUAAGCAGGAUAUGUAGAAUGACACAACAAUUGAUGAGUAAUUUAGGAGAUCCAAUAACUAAAAAAAAAAAGACUGGGGACAAGUUCAUGGAAAGAGUAAUCAACUAAGCCUUAUAACAUAAAAUUGACAAAUAGAGAAGGCAUGCAAUCCAGUAGAAUAGAGUGCAAAAGAGGUAGAAGACUAAUCGUUUCAAGACAUGUUGAGCCACAACAGCAAUAACAUUGUGACAAAAAACGUCGGUGUAGACUGCAGAAGAUCUUCAAUGACGGAUCAAGCUGUAUAGACUUUUUUUUACCCUCAUAUACUGAAUAGUCAUUUAAGGUAUACAGUGCCAACGUAAGAGAGAAAGGUAAACUUUUUUUAACACAAGUUGUAGGCCUUGGAAAGAAGUUUUCCAGUAACAAGAUAACACGAUAAUGUACUGUGGUUAUAAGCUCAAAGUGGUAUAUUUGAUUCAGUGUUCCCAGAACCACCAAAACCUUGGAACCAUUGUUUAGCUAAAGCUACUAGAACAACAGAAUAACCUACUCUGUGGCAUUGUAAAGUAAAAUUAUACUACACACAAAUACUUGACAUAAAAUACAUUUCCAAACUCAAUUAUUAGGGAUAACAUAAGCACAAAAUGAUGCUUUGCAAACAUCAUGUAUCCUAUAACUGGAGAAAAAAAAUUAAUGACAUGAAGUGAAAUGACUGAGUUCUGAAGCUACAUCUCAAUUUAAAUAGCAUAAGCAAUUUAGUAUACAACAUUCUUCAAAAUCAAUUGUUGAAGGUUAACUAUAAUCUACAUACAAAAACAACUUUGUCAACUUUUUGUACGGAUUUUCCUUCUAAACAUAUUUACUUUAUGUGUAAAAUCAAAAAAUUUCCUGAGUUAAAGGCUAAGACUUGACUUUAUGAAUACAUGCCCAAAAAUUGGUGGUGGCUGGUUUCUGUUUUUAUUUUGUAAGCUUAGUAUAAUGGUUGUCCAGAACUUGUAAGCAAUGACCUCAUUUCUAAGCGGACAAGAUGCAAAAGACCAUUUUUACAGAUUAACCAUCUGGUUCCUUUAGGAAGAGUAAUAUUUCAACAGGUUCCUGUAUUUCAAGAAUAUAAAUAAUUAAAAAGAUGAAGAUAUGUGAAAUACACAAAGAAAAAAAUAGAGAAAAUAGCAUUUAAAGCAAAUUAUCCUAGCUCCCUCAAUUAAUAUUUUAAAACCAUGACAAUCAGUUAUUAAUAUAAAUUGUUAAUUUUAUUUAAUACAACAUCAAUAUAAUUCAUACCAUCUUCUUCAACUAGGUGGUCUAUCAUUUUGGAGUUUCUUUCCACCUCUGGAGAAUUGCUCAGGAAAUCUGGCUAACAUACCAAAUAAAUCAAAUGGAUUUAAUGAGAUGGUUUUUGGCUAGUUUCUAUAUUCUUGUAUACACAUGCAUGUAACACAUAAAUGUGGUGCUGUUCACAGUUAGAGGCGCAAGAGAAAAAAGUAGCUUUCCAGUGUUAUUUCAUUGUUAUUAACUAUACAGUAUUCAGGUGCAAACAAAUGAAAAUCCUGUAUAUUCACGCUAAAAUAUAAUAUGUAUCAAAAUAAGCAUAAAAUAACUGUUUUGGAUAGGUCUUAGGAUGCUGCUGUGGCUUAAUUUGCUCUGUUUAUGUUCUCUCCGCUUUUCUUUAUUGCAUGUGCUAGUUUUGAUGUGUUGUUUGACUAAUAUGUCAUACGGUGAAUUUACUGAGGUCUAUAACAAAAGGCAUGGAUCCAUACACUGGACACAACCUUGAGGGCAUAAGGGAAAAAAAAAAGAAACUAAGUACCAUAGAACAGCCUCAACAAAAUCAGAGCAUGCUUUACACGUGAUUUUCAGUUACACCCUGCUUGUCAUUUGUGAUUACUCAAAACAAUAAUUAAAUUACGUCCUCCAGGAAACAGGAAGGAGUGGAUAACCAAAAUACAUGAAAAGCCCCUACAGUCCCUGUUUGUUCAGAGUAUAGAUCAGCAUUCUUUAGGAGUUCCAUUCUUUUAUUACAGGAAUGAAUAUUGGGUUGAACACGCUUAUAUGCAUUUAGAGGUAAUGUGAUGUAUGAAAACAAGUACUGCAGAGGUUUCCUCUGUAGAACUGUACUUUUAAGAGGAGCAGCCACCAUAAUCUUCUUGUAAAGGUAAACUGGAUCAUGUCAUUUUCAAAUAAAGUCUUCUCUCACUUCAUUUUCCCCUUAAAACAAUAUAUAAAUGAUAAUAGUAGCAACGGUAACAGUAGAAGUGGUAAACUCAACAUAAAAAGCCUACAAGGCUCUUUCCUUGUCUCUUGCUACUCCCACUUCCACUCCAUUUGCAUCUCCAACCACAGAUGCUUUCUUUCUGUGCCCCAAUGAAGCUCUUUAUGUGCCUUUCACAUACUGUUACUUCUGGUUUGUUCUUUAAAUAGAUAAUUAUUUAUUGCCCUUAAAGACUUAAGUUAAAUACCACAUCUGCCAAGAGAUUUCACUUACUGCCUUCCACUCCCAAUCUAAGUCACUUUCUCUGGCUCUCUUAUAUAAGCACAGUUAUGUUUUCCUUAGAAUAUUCAUCACAAUUUGACAUUUUAAUUUGCAUUCAUUUACUUUUUAUCCCCAACUGGACAAUAUGCUCCUUGGAAAUAGGAAAUCAU
rnacentral:lncRNA from 10 species